UUGCAGUUAAAAAGCUCGCAGUUGGAUUUCUGUUACGGUGAGUCGGCCGGCUCUUCGGAGUUGUAGCUAGAUUUCAUUGUAGCAUCUUGACGUAAUUACCACUGGCAUUCAUUUGUUGGUGCGUAGGACCGUCUCGUUUACUUUGAGAAAAUUAGAGUGUUCAAAGCGGGCUAUCGCCUUGAAUAUAUUAGCAUGGAAUAAUAAUAUAGGACUUUUGGUUCUAUUUUGUUGGCGUUCGAGAACCAAAGUAAUGAUUGAUAGGGACAGUUGGGGGCAUCAGUAUUCUGAAGCGAGAGGUGAAAUUCUUGGACCUUCGGAAGACUAACAGCUGCGAAAGCGUUUGCCUAGGAUGUUCUCUU
rnacentral:rRNA from 1 species